rnacentral:rRNA from 1 species
UACGGGGGGAGCAAGCGUUGUUCGGAUUUACUGGGCGUAAAGGGCGCGUAGGCGGCCACCGCAAGUCGGUUGUGAAAUCUCUGGGCUUAACCCAGAAAGGUCAACCGAUACUGCGGGGCUAGAGUGCAGAAGGGGCAACUGGAAUUCUCGGUGUAGCGGUGAAAUGCGUAGAUAUCGAGAGGAACACCUGCGGCGAAGGCGGGUUGCUGGGCUGACACUGACGCUGAGGAGCGAAAGCGUGGGGAGCGGACAGG